rnacentral:rRNA from 1 species
GACAGAGGGGGCAAGUGUUGCUCGGAAUUACUGGGCGUAAAGGGCGCGUAGGCGGAAUGGCAAGUCGGUCGUGAAAUCCUUCGGCUCAACCGAAGAACGUCGAUCGAAACUGCCGUUCUUGAGGAUUGCAGAGGAGACUGGAAUUCCCGGUGUAGCGGUGAAAUGUGUAGAGAUCGGGAGGAACACCGGUGGCGAAGGCGGGUCUCUGGGACGGUACUGACGCUGAGACGCGAAAGCGUGGGGAGCGAACAGG